GAUGAACGCUGGCGGCGUGCUUAACACAUGCAAGUCGAACGGAGUACCCCUGAAGGAGUUUUCGGACAACUGAUGGGACUACUUAGUGGCGGACGGGUGAGUAACGCGUGAGUAACCUGCCUUGGAGUGGGGAAUAACAGCUGGAAACAGCUGCUAAUACCGCAUAAUAUAUCUGUGUCGCAUGGCAGUGGAUAUCAAAGAUUUAUCGCUCUGAGAUGGACUCGCGUCUGAUUAGCUAGUUGGCGGGGUAACGGCCCACCAAGGCGACGAUCAGUAGCCGGACUGAGAGGUUGGCCGGCCACAUUGGGACUGAGACACGGCCCAGACUCCUACGGGAGGCAGCAGUGGGGAAUAUUGGGCAAUGGGCGCAAGCCUGACCCAGCAACGCCGCGUGAAGGAAGAAGGCUUUCGGGUUGUAAACUUCUUUUCUCAGGGACGAAGCAAGUGACGGUACCUGAGGAAUAAGCCACGGCUAACUACGUGCCAGCAGCCGCGGUAAUACGUAGGUGGCAAGCGUUAUCCGGAUUUACUGGGUGUAAAGGGCGUGUAGGCGGGACUGCAAGUCAGAUGUGAAAACCACGGGCUCAACCUGUGGCCUGCAUUUGAAACUGUAGUUCUUGAGCACUGGAGAGGCAGACGGAAUUCCUAGUGUAGCGGUGAAAUGCGUAGAUAUUAGGAGGAACACCAGUGGCGAAGGCGGUCUGCUGGACAGCAACUGACGCUGAGGCGCGAAAGCGUGGGGAGCAAACAGGAUUAGAUACCCUGGUAGUCCACGCUGUAAACGAUGGAUACUAGGUGUGGGGGGACUGACCCCCUCCGUGCCGCAGUUAACACAAUAAGUAUCCCACCUGGGGAGUACGAUCGCAAGGUUGAAACUCAAAGGAAUUGACGGGGGCCCGCACAAGCGGUGGAGUAUGUGGUUUAAUUCGAAGCAACGCGAAGAACCUUACCAGGGCUUGACAUCCCGGUGACCGCUGUAGAGAUACAGUUUUCCCUUCGGGGACACUGGUGACAGGUGGUGCAUGGUUGUCGUCAGCUCGUGUCGUGAGAUGUUGGGUUAAGUCCCGCAACGAGCGCAACCCUUAUUGUUAGUUGCUACGCAAGAGCACUCUAGCGAGACUGCCGUUGACAAAACGGAGGAAGGUGGGGACGACGUCAAAUCAUCAUGCCCCUUAUGUCCUGGGCCACACACGUACUACAAUGGUGGUCAACAGAGGGAAGCAAUACCGCGAGGUGGAGCAAAUCCCUAAAAGCCAUCCCAGUUCGGAUCGCAGGCUGCAACCCGCCUGCGUGAAGUUGGAAUCGCUAGUAAUCGCGGAUCAGCAUGCCGCGGUGAAUACGUUCCCGGGCCU
rnacentral:rRNA from 1 species